rnacentral:rRNA from 1 species
UGCAUGUCUAAGUACAGAGACUAGUAAUCCUGAAACCGCGGAUGGCUCAUUAUAACAGCCCUGAUUUGAGAGACUUAACGUAUUUGAUUACUGCAAGAUAACUGUGGUAAUUCUAGAGCUAAUAUUUCUGAGAAUGCCGUGACUUCGGGAGCGGCGGAUUUAUUAGAUCAAAAUCAACCUGCCAGCAAUGGCGGUUCUUUGAUGAAUCUGGAUAACUUUACUGAUCGUACGACCAUUUGCGUUGACGACGAAUCUCUUGAAAAGGCUGACCUAUCAACUUUCGAUGGUAAGAUCAAAGCUUACCAUGGUUGUAACGGGUAACGGGGAAUCAGUGUUCGAUUCCGGAGAGGGAGCCUGAGAAACGGCUACCACAUCUACGGAAGGCAGCAGGCGCGCAAAUUACCCAAUACCGGCUCGGUGAGGUAGUGACAAAAAAUAACAAUAUGGGCCCUAGUGGUUUCAUAAUUGCAAUGAGGACAUUUUAAAUACUUUACCAAGUAUCAAUUGGAGGGCAAGUCUGGUGCCAGCAGCCGCGGUAAUUCCAGCUCCAAUAGCGUAUAUUAAAGUUGUUGCAGUUAAAAAGCUCGUAGUUGAAAUUGAGGACAGAGAUGGUUGCCGGUCUUUGAUUGGUGGCUGUCKAGUCCUUCUGAGCCGCGUAUUGGUGGGAUGCUCCUUAAKUGGGGUGUUUCRCUGAACCGGCAAGUUUACUUUGAAAAAAUUAAAGUGCUUAAAGGCARGCUUGCGCUUGUAUAUUGUUGCAUGGAAUAAUGAAAUAAGACUUCGGUUUUAUUUUGUUGGUUUUCGGAACUGAAGUAAUGAUUAAAAGAGACUGCCGGGGGCAUAUGUAUGCUGGUGUGAGAGGUGAAAUUCUAAGAUCGCCAGCAGACAGACUACAGCGAAAGCAUUUGCCAAGAAUGUUUUCAUUAAUCAAGAACGAAAGUCAGAGGAUCGAAGACGAUCAGAUACCGUCCUAGUUCUGACCAUAAACUAUGCCAACUGACAGUUAGCGGAGGUAGUUUACACAUCCUUGCUAGAAGUCACCGGGAAACCUAAGUCUAUGGGUUCCGGGGGAAGUAUGGUUGCAAAGCUGAAACUUAAGGGAAUUGACGGAAGGGCACCACCAAGAGUGGAGCCUGCGGCUUAAUUUGACUCNACACGGGAAAUCUCACCCGGUCCGGACGCUGUGAGGAUUGACAGAUUGAUAGCUCUUUCUUGAUUCGGUGGGUGGUGGUGCAUGGCCGUUCUUANUUGGGGGAGCGANUUGUCUGGUUNAUUCCGAUAANGAANGAGACUCUGANGUGCUAACUANCACACUUGUGUUUAAUNGCGANUGCUGACUUCUUAGAGAAAUNNGUGGCGUUAANCUGAANNAAAAUGAGCNAUAACAGGUCUGUGAUGCCCUUAGAUGUCNGGGGCCGCNCGCGCGCUACNGUGGCANUANCCGCGAGUUUUGUUUCNUAGCUAGNNAAUGGCCGGUANUCUGCUGAAACACUGUCNUGUNAAGAAUANUGGANUGUANNUUUUCCACUNGAACGAUGCAUUCNUAGUAANCGCANGUCNCUAACUNGCGCUGAUNACGNCCCNGCCNUUNGUNCACNCCGCCCNUCGNUACACGAUGGUGGUUAAGAAAUGUUGGUCUAACAAGAAAGGCACUUUUUUGAAGGAAAAAACUCACUGUUUUUAAGA